UUGAGGUAAUUGAGUUUGCCUUGUCACCGUAUCACCUUGAACAAAGCAUGUCGCUACAAAAGUGGGGUCUUCAGACAAGGAGUGUUGAGCAUGGAAUGAGAGAAUAUGAGAAGGAAAAAAAGAAGAGAGUGAUCUUGGAGGUUUUUCUUUCUAAUGGCAAAAUGGGAAUUAUAGGAGGAAGUUCGUAUUAUAAAGCUAGAGGUGAAAUUCUUGGAUUUUUAUAAGACGAACUAAGGCGAAGGCAUUCUUCAACGGAAUAUCCGUCGAUCAAGAACGAUAGAAGGGGGAUCGAAGACGAUCAGAUACCGUCGUAGUCUCUUCAGUAAACUAUGCCGUCUUUGAAUGGGGAAGCGAUUUAAGUUUUGAAGAGCUGUAAAAAGGUUUGGAAAACUAAUGUCCAUCUCCGCGCAAUAAAAGAAAUUAAGAGAUUUUGGGUUCCGGGGG
rnacentral:rRNA from 1 species